UGAGGAACCUGCCUCAAAGAGGGGGACAACAGUUGGAAACGACUGCUAAUACCGCAUAAGCCCACGGUGCCGCAUGGCACAGAGGGAAAAGGAGCAAUCCGCUUUGAGAUGGCCUCGCGUCCGAUUAGCUAGUUGGUGAGGUAACGGCCCACCAAGGCAACGAUCGGUAGCCGGACUGAGAGGUUGAACGGCCACAUUGGGACUGAGACACGGCCCAGACUCCUACGGGAGGCAGCAUG
rnacentral:rRNA from 1 species